rnacentral:rRNA from 1 species
GAUGAACGCUGGCGGCGUGCCUAAUACAUGCAAGUCGAACGAAACUUCUUUAUCACCGAGUGCUUGCACUCACCGAUAAAGAGUUGAGUGGCGAACGGGUGAGUAACACGUGGGCAACCUGCCCAAAAGAGGGGGAUAACACUUGGAAACAGGUGCUAAUACCGCAUAACCAUAGUUACCGCAUGGUAACUAUGUAAAAGGUGGCUAUACUACCGCCUUUGGAUGGGCCCGCGGCGCAUUAGCUAGUUGGUAGGGUAAAGGCUUACCAAGGCAAUGAUGCGUAGCCGAAUUGAGAGGUUGAUCGGCCACAUUGGGACUGAGACACGGCCCAAACUCCUACGGGAGGCAGCAGUAGGGAAUCUUCCACAAUGGGCGAAAGCCUGAUGGAGCAACGCCGCGUGGGUGAAGAAGGUCUUCGGAUCGUAAAGCCCUGUUGUUAGAGAAGAAAGUGCGUGAGAGUAACUGUUCACGUUUCGACGGUAUCUAACCAGAAAGCCACGGCUAACUACGUG